CUCUGAUUCACUGGGGACACGCACAGCUGGGAAGUGCUGGCUCUCAGGGAAUCGGGGAUGGCACUGUGUUCUGAGCCCCAUAAAGAACUGGCAAAAGGCACUUCACAGGGAGCCUCACACCUUUGCAAACUUAAUUCCCAAAACUCCUGUGUCCUGUUGCUGCUCUGGCUGGUCCCUUCCCCUCCACUGGGAAGGCUUUACAAGAUCCCAUCCUGCUGACUGGUCUGUGCCCUCUGCCCCUCUGUGCCCGUUCCUGACUGCCAGAGCUGCCUCUGUGCUCUGCAUUCCCUCCUCACUCCAGCCCUGUAUCCCUGAGGCUUUUCCUGGCACCCUUCCCAACUCCUUUUGCUGCCAAGUCAGACUCAGUACAAGCGUCUUGUAUUCCCUUUCAAAUCCUUUCCUAUCGUGGCAAAUAAACCCACUGUCCUCCACACACACACUCCUGAUAU